rnacentral:rRNA from 1 species
GAUGAACGCUAGCGAUAGGCCUAACACAUGCAAGUCGAGGGGCAUCACAUGAAGUAGCAAUACGGAUGGUGGCGACCGGCGCACGGGUGAGUAACACGUAUGCAACCUGCCUUCAACAAGGGGAUAACCCGUUGAAAGACGGACUAAUACCCUAUAACACAGGGGUCCCGCAUGGGAAUAUUUGUUAAAGGACAACCGGUUGAAGAUGGGCAUGCGUUCCAUUAGCUAGUUGGCGGGGUAACGCCCACCAAGGCAACGAUGGAUAGGGGAACUGAGAGGUUUAUCCCCCACACUGGUACUGAGACACGGACCAGACUCCUACGGGAGGCAGCAGUGAGGAAUAUUGGUCAAUGGACGCAAGUCUGAACCAGCCACGUCGCGUGAAGGAAGACGGCCCUACGGGUUGUAAACUUCUUUUGUAAGGGAAUAAAGUGUAGUACGCGUACUAUUUUGCAUGUACCUUACGAAUAAGGAUCGGCUAACUCCGUGCCAGCAGCCGCGGUAAUUCACUAUCGGA